UAUGCCUGUUCGCGGGUUAGGUAGUGGCAUGCCUGUUCGUGGGUUAGGUAGUGGCAUGCCACUACCUAACCCGCGAACAGGCAUA